AUGCCCGAUUCCGCGCCCGCCAUGGCCGACAAAAUGGACGUGUCACUGGACGACAUCAUUAAACUGAACCGGAGCCAGGGAGGAGGCCGCGGCGGGGUCUGCUCCCAGGGCGGCCGCGGCGGAGGGGCGCAGGCCGCCGCGCGAGUGAAUCGAGGCGACGGGCCCAUCCGGAACGGCCGGCCAUCGCCCGCCGCGCGGCCGGCGGAGGCGGCAGGAACCGACCCGCGCCCUGCAGCUGGCCAAAACAGCUUCCCGACAAGUGGGAGCACGAUCUUUUCGACGGUGGCUUUGCGGGUGGUGGUCGCGUGGAGUCGGGUGGGAAACUGCUGGUGUCCAAUCUGGAUUUUGGAGUGUCAGACACCGAUAUUCAGGAACGCUUGGCUGACUUUGGAACACUGAAGAAGGCAGCUGUGCACUACGACCGCCCUGGCCGCAGCUUAGGACCAGCAGAUGUACACUUUGAGCGGAAGGCAGUCGCCCUGAGAGCCAUGAAGCAGUAUAACGGUGUCCCUCUGGAUGGCCGCCCCAUGAACAGUCAGCUUGUCACAUCGCAGAUCAGUACACAGCGGAGACCUGCACAGAGCGUAAACAGAGGCGGCAUGACUAGAAACCGUGGCGCUGGAGGCUUUGGUGGUGGCGGAGGCACCCGGAGAGGCACCCGUGGAGGCGCCCGGGGAAGAGGCAGAGGCGCCGGCAGGAAUUCAAAGCAGCAGCUUUCGGCAGAGGAGCUGGACGCCCAGCUGGACGCCUAUAAUGCGAGAAUGGACACCAGUUAAACAGACCGGCAAAUCCGUGUGGACAGGACCCAAGCGUCUCCUCUUGCUCCCUGGUUGGGGAGCGGUGGCUGGGGCUGUGCGGCCAAUAAUGGAUUUGUUUCUCUUAUGUUUUAAAAUAGGGUUUAAAAACUCCUGUAAAGGCUUUUUUCUUUCUUUCUUUUUUUUUUUUUUAAAACAGGUCUGAAACAGACCUGUUAUUUUUGGGAUAAAUUUUACUGGUUGCUGUUGUGGAGAAGGCAACAUUUCCACCUUUUCCAUAAUAAAAUAGAAAUGUGUGUAGAAA